UCCACUCGCAUCCAAAAACUUUGUUCGUGGAAUAUUUUAAAGAUUUAGAUUCUAAUAAAGUUUAGGAACAGUGUCCUUUCAGCCCCGGAUAGAGACAAAAUGAAGUCCUUGCUAAAUAUGAUGCAGUGGAGCGGUGAAAAAAUAAAGAACGGAGGAGGUGCGAUAAGUCGGCAGAUACGUUGCUACCCGCGGAAAACCGGCACCGAAUGAAUUUCUGCAGAUACAAAAAUGUCAUCGCUUCUCGGAUGUGAAACGUGCAUUUCAUACCGAACCAAAGUGUCGGGACCAUGGCCCCAUUUGUUCAAAGCAUGCUGGAUGUUGAAGGAGAAUGCCGGAUGAUGUCCCGUUCAGAAUGAAAUUGAUAGAACGCUUCGAACGGUUAAGUGUGAACAAAGGUGAGGUUGUUUAGCUCUGAUCGACGGAGACAAAAUUGCCUACCGAACAAAAAGAUUAUUCUAUCUGUUGAAGAUUAGAAGAAGAGGAUUGUGUAAUUUAAGCAUAAUAGAAGAAUAAGGGAUGGUUCACUAAUUACGUAACCACAUAUGGGGGGAGGUACAGUGACUAUAAUAACAGUGUCGUCAAGUGUCAGAAUUGGAACAGAAUCGCCUGUCAGUUUCAUACAAAUGCGCAUUCCAAACGAGCAGGAGACCUGUCAAACGUAACACUUGACGUUACUCUUCUUAUAGGGCUCUAGGGGGAGGUAUAUCAUUUUCUUACUCUUCAUAUAAACAAAACAUAAUUUGUAUGGGAAAAAUCUUAUACAGGGGGGAGAGGGAGGUCCGAGAAACCAAGAAAAAAAUAAACCAACAAAAUUAUUGAACGACCCCUUAAUAUAAUGAAUAGUGCGGUAACUAGCUGUAUAAAAUGAGCGCCAAUGGAUGUUUAAAUUCGUAAAAUACGGAAUGGUUAAGGUGAUGUUGCAGAACCAAACUAGAUUUGCAUCUCCAAUCUCUUUUGUGCAUCAACAUCUUGCUGGUGUUUAUGCUCUAAUUCAUUUAAUUUUUGUCCGAUUUGUUUGAAAUUUUUAGAAAUAAACCAAAAAUUAUCAUAGUUUCCGAGGAUCAAUCAUUGGACAUGUCGGUCCAACGGAUUUAUACGGAAUCCCAGUGGGGUCUGUCGGGUGGCCAUUUAGGGCAUUUUUGACUUUUAUGUUUGAUAUUCAUAUAAGUACUAAUAUCGUC